GUUAAGUUAGCAAAUUUAUGCGAUUGAUUUAGGAUCAAUAUAAGUUAAUUUUAAUUUAACACUUAAUU
rnacentral:tRNA from 2 species